CACAAGCAUUUCCUCUUUUUCCGCAGCUGACGGAGUGUCCUACACCAUCUUAUUCAUCUCCUUGGACAGUCUGCUGUAUGGUACGGUCACAAAUAUGUCCAAAUACGAUCACUGGUCAGAAAGUCAUUCACUCUGUUGAACUGUGGUGGAAGCAGUAAGGUGUGACCUAUUGGGAUGGACACAGUAUCCAAUACACUGAAGUAACAGGACUCAAAUUUCAUACAUGUUCACAGAGAGAUCUGGCUGUCACCAUUGCUAGAGCUGCCAAUCAAGGAGAGGAUUAUUUGAUUGAAUUGACAACCCAGAUCUACAUAUGCUUCCAGACUGCCCCUGAGAUGUUUCCCUAUGAAGAAUUUCCUGUAACAGAGGUCAAGGUUAACACAGACCUCCACUUUCCAGGGGCCGGGUGUCUGGUGGUGUCCUGUAAAACAGACUCCAAGGCUGCAAAGAAAGAGACGGCAGUCCGGUACUUUAGUGAGUGGAACAGGAAUUGUUAUUGGUGUAUCAGACAAAGGUAGAUUACAUAUUUCCACGCUCUGAUGGAGGUUAAUUUGGCGGUGGCAGAGUUGCGAUAUGAGGAUUGAUUCAAACCUCCUCCCAGUCUCAGAACUCAGUCCUCCUCCUCAUCCUCAACUCUGGAGACUGCAUCCUCUUCUUCUCUACAUCCCCUCAGCAGUCCCACAUCUUCUGCCAAGAGGAAGAAACUCAAAGCAAAAAGAGAUAAAGAGAGAGGAGGAGCCGUGCCCAAGAGAUCCACCACUGCUCAGCGGAGGAGCCGAGCCCAAGAGAUCCACCACUGCUCAGCAGAGGAGCCGUGCCCAAGAGAUCCACCACUGCUCAGCGGAGGAGCCGAGCCCAAGAGAUCCACCACUGCUCAGCGGAGGAGCCGUGCCCAAGA